GCAACUCGCCUACACGAAGUCGGAAUUGCUAGUAAUCGCGGAUCAGCAUGCCGCGGUGAAUACGUUCCCGGGUCUUGUACACACCGCCCGUCACACCAUGGGAGUCGGAAAUGCCCGAAGCCGGUGACCCAACCAAAAGGAGGGAGCCGUCGAAGGCAGGUCUGAUAACUGGGGUGAAGUCGUAACAAGGUACC
rnacentral:rRNA from 1 species